GGGUUAUUCAAAAGAGGGGUAAGGGGCAAAAUUGGAAUAAGAUAGUCCCAUGCGAUGUUUGGAGGAUGGAAUCUUCUGGAUUUGCAUGGAAAUUGGACGUACACACGGCCCUCGGUUUAGGCCUUUAGCAGAUUAUUUCACAAACUAUUUCCAGGCAAUGUGAAACGACGUGCUUUGCAACAGCAAAUCGCUAAAUGAGCCAAUAUUUCGCAGCUGAAAUUUGUGGGUUUGGUUAAUAAAACUUAAUGUAAUAGAAUGUUGAAUAAUUUAAAAAGAAACAUGUCUAGUUUGGAGAAUAUUAAUGUGAUUAACAAGGUACAAACGAGUUUGUUCUAAUGCUACACCUGAUGAACUUGGACGGAUUAUAUUUUACUA